UGAAGAACAACGAUUUCUUCAUCAACAUCAGUAGAAAUUAGGUUACUCAAAAACUAAAAUUCAAAAAUCGAUCAGAAGAGCAAUUCAAGAUAAACAAAUUUUCAAUUUCUGAUAAAAUUGUGUUAAUUCUAUAAUUGAUCAAAUUUUUCUCGAUUGUUCAACUAUUACUUUGAUUUCAAGUAUCCAAUUCCUCAUCUAAUUCAGGUAAAUUCAUGAAGAUUGGACAAGUUGUUGGUUUGCGGCUAAAAGACAGCCUAAAAAGUGCAUUUCAAUCAGUGGACCAUGCACGCAAACAAUUUAUCAAGUCAAAGAGAAGCAAAAUAGGCAUAUUAUGGCUGAAGGUUAUAUUUUAUUAAGUGAAUAUGAAGGAGUGAUCAAAAACUGUUUCAAUUAUUUGUAGCAACCAACCGAGCAACCAAAGAGCAACCGACAAACAACCAAAAAGCAUCCAAAGGUCCACUGACAGAGCAAUCAAAGAGCACCGACGACUGGUCAAAAGCAACAAAAGAGCAAUAAACGGGCAACCAAAACUGAAAUAAAAUCAAAUAUAAAGCAUACACACAUCUCUUUAGAGAACAUUUAUAUUUAGUUUAAUCUAUUUAAAGU